AACUAACAAGGAUUCCCCUAGUAGCGGCGAGCGAAGCGGGAAGAGCUCAAAUUUAUAAUCUGGCACUUUCAGUGUCCGAGUUGUAAUCUCUAGAAGUGUUUUCCGCGUUGGACCGCACACAAGUCUGUUGGAAUACAGCGGCACAGUGGUGACACCCCCGUACACGGUGCGGACGCCCAGCGCUUUGUGAUACACUUUCGAAGAGUCGAGUUGUUUGGGAAUGCAGCUCAAAUUGGGUGGUAAAUUCCAUCUAAAGCUAAAUAUUGGCGAGAGACCGAUAGCGAACAAGUACCGUGAGGGAAAGAUGAAAAGCACUUUGGAAAGAGAGUUAACAGUACGUGAAAUUGUUGGAAGGGAAACGCUUGAAGUCAGACUUGCUUGCCGGAGCUUGCUUCGGUUUGCAGGCCAGCAUCAGUUUUCCGGGGUGGAUAAUGGCGGUUAGAAGGUAGCAGCUUCAGCUGUGUUAUAGCUUUCCGCUGGAUACAUCCUGGGGGACUGAGGAACGCAGCGUGCUUUUAGCGGGGG
rnacentral:rRNA from 1 species